UGGGGGUCGACUUUCCUGGUGAUCGACUUUAUUCAAAAGUCGAUCCCAGGGAAGUCGAUCCUCAGGAAAGUCGAUCUUCCUAGGAUUCGACCUGGGACCUCCCCAACCCUAGAAUAGAUACCUCGACUCAUCUUAGGCUAUCCGGACUUCUAGUUGCUGGUAGGUUGUGACCGUGUUCGGAAUACUGUAUCACCAGUACUCCCCCCUCCUCUGCGUAUUAGAUACUUUGGGAUACGUCUUUUAGUACUAUGGUCUGUGUGUCGGAC
rnacentral:lncRNA from 1 species